UCUGGCACCAACAGGUUAGCUAUACAAUUACCUCCCAUUAGGGAACCUAAUGUUGGAAGAGCACCCUGUCUCCCCCCGAGUAGCCACAGACUACACCACAUGUCAGAUGGUACUUAAAAUAUGCUCCCUAAAUACUAAAGGGCUGAAUUCCCCUCACAAGCGCCGCCUAGCACUGCGCGAAGCAAAAUCAUUAGGUGCCCACGUAAUGCUCUUCCAAGAAACGCACUUCCAAUGGGGUAACAGACCGAAGUUUAACUCCCCACAGUAUCCCAUAGAUUUUCACUCAUGUUACUCCAAAAAAAAAAGAGGAGUAUCCAUCCUUAUUGGCAGAGAUGUGGCCUUCUCCCUAAUACGCAAAAUAGGAGAUAAAAAGGGAAGGUACCUUAUAUUGCAAUGCUCCCUAAAUAAUAAUGUCUAUACCUUAAUUAAUGUCUAUGGACCCAAUGUUAACCAAUGUAACUUUGUUGAUGUACUGCUUGGUUUGAUGUCUGCUCACGCACUUGGGGAAGUGAUCAUUGGGGGUGACACGAAUUUCUUACUAGACAGUGACCUAGACUCAUCAGGAGGUCCCCAAUUGACUGCACAAACACUAAAGAGCAGGUCCAAACUAGCCACACUAAUAUGCAACAAACUAACACCGCACAAUCUUGUAGACCCAUGGAGAGUCACCCAUCCCACAGAGAGGGACUACACAUGCCACACAGCAGCGCAUAAGACUUAUUCGAGAAUAGAUAGGUUUUUGAUCCGCACCUCCUCCAUCAUAAAGGUUGAGCGCACAGACAUAGGCCUUAUUACAUGGUCGGACCAUGCCCCUAUUACACUACAGCUUAGGGAACAAUUCCCCAACUCAGGAAGAGGCAGUUGGAGACUCAAUGAACAAUUACUCGCUGACCCUGCCAUAGUUAACCAAAUAGAACAAGAUCUACAGUUUUAUUUUAAAGAAAACAAAACCCCAG